CAGGCAAAUAUAUUGAUGAAAGUCACAAUUAUCAAAACAAUUUUUAGUGUUUCUAAAACCAAUAAUUAUUGGAACCAUUUCCCUGUUUGACCUCUAGGUUUAAUGGGUAUCGAAUUGUAUUAGUCACAUGCGCCGAAUGCAACAGGUGUAGACCUUACGGUGAAAUGCUUACUUACGAGCCCCUAACCAACAAUGCAGUUAAAAAAAAUACAGAUAAGAAAUAAAAGUAACAAGUAAUUAAAGAGCAAAUAAUCUGGGUAGCCACUUGAUUAGGUGUUCAGGAGUCAUAUGGCUUGGGGGUAGAAGCCUCUUAGUCCUAGACUUGGCGCUCCGGUAUUGCUUGCCGUGCGGUAGCAGAGAGAACAGUCUAUGACUAGGGUGGCUGGAGUCUUUGACAAUUUUUAGGGCCAUCCUCUGACACUGCCUGGUAUAGAGGUCCUGGAUGGCAGGAAGCUUGUCCCCCGUGAUGUACUGGGCCGUUCGUAUUAUGACUCAUACUGUGGUACUCUAUUGAGUGUUUGCCCCCUAAAAUAGAAGGAUAAUGUCGAUAUUAGACACUAUUGCACCACCUCUCACCCCAUUUGUGUGCAUGCCUAACAAACUUCCAUUUACAUACAGUAGCUACAGUAUGCAGUUAUUUUUUUCUCCAGAUAAUCACAAGUCAAGUACCCGUUUAUUAGGUACACCAUCUAGUGCCGGGACGGACCCCCCUUUUGCCUCCAGAACCGCCUGAAUUCUUUGGGGCAUGGAAACAUAGCUCAAUUGCUAUCAAGGGACCUAAUGUUUGCCAGGAAGACAUUCCCCACACCAUUACGUACCCACCACGAGCCUGUACCGUUGUAAACAAGCAGGAUGGGGCCAUGGACCCGCCUGUUAGCUUGCACGAUUCUUGCCAUUCUCCUUCGACCUUUCAUCAAAGUCGCUUAGAUCACUCGUUUUGCCCAUUCUAACGUUAAAUGGAACAAUAACUGAAUGCCUCGAUGCCGGUCUGCCUGCUUUAUAUAGCAAGCUUGGCCACGUGUCUGUAGGAGCUAACCAUUUUUGUGAAUGGGUAAUGUACCUAAUAAAUCGGCCACUGAGUGUAUAUAUGUAUAUUGACCAGAUCUAUACAUUAUUUGCUGUGACCAGAGCGCCUUUUGUCCAAAAUCUGUAAGAAACGUUUUAUGGCAAGUUGCAAUUGUAUUAAUGAAGAUUUCGUACAGUACUCUUCUGAACAUUUUUAUAAAUAUGUGUAUUAUUGAUUGAUGCUGCAGAUGCAGUGGUAAUUUACUUGUCAUUCACCUAUUAUCAGGGGGAAAUGAGAUGGACCGAGACAAAUUAGACAUUUCACAGAUGUGUCCUAGAGCAGAUUGAGACGUUCUGAUUUAUAGUAUUGAAAGGAUUGUACGAUGGAUAACUGUAUCACAGUUGGGAACACCAUCACAGCUUGCCAUGUAAGAAAUUAGUUCAGUAGUGUUAUGUGCAAUGCCCAUAUACAUGAUUUGGUAAGGAAACGUAGAGGAAUCGAUGCCCACAAACUGCAAUGAUUAGAAAAGUACCUCUGUCUAAGAAGCAAAAGCAUGAGCCAAUCAUUUGUUCUUCAAAUAUAUAAUCUUAGUUCAGUCAUACAGAUAUAUACAUUGUAUAAUAAAUUAUAUUUAUAAAAACAUAACAUUUUCAGAUUAUAAAAUAAAAAGGGAAUUAUUAACUUUAAAACCUUUGUACAAAACUUUGGAUGUAGCGGUGAGGAAAGGAAGGAACUGAACACAGAAAGGGCCCGUGUAGGGAGAGCCUUUUGGAGGGUGACGCAGAUACUAAGCUAUGUCACAAAGGGAGGAGUCUACACUACCUAGAUACUUCAAAUCUCUGAACAGGAUUCCACCAUAUUGCUUCUAUUGUCAAGACAUUUCACAUCAGUGGCAAUCCAGGGAAGGAGAUGAGGAAAGAGGCCUAUUGAAGACUAUUAGGACACUUUCUGCUCUCUCCCCUCUGGUCUCCACUUGUCAUCACAUUUCACUGGUGAGAGAAGGGUUUAGCUUAGACAAGGACUUCACAGUAUUAUGAGGAACAUAAUGAAAUGGACUGUCAGUGUGUUGGAUAAAUUAUCUCAUUGUCGUAGUAUGACUGCUAUGAGUAGAAUAAUUCAUUAGCAUUAGGCC
ensembl:lncRNA